rnacentral:rRNA from 1 species
UACGGAGGGGGCUAGCGUUGUUCGGAAUUACUGGGCGUAAAGCGCACGUAGGCGGCUUUGUAAGUUAGAGGUGAAAGCCCGGGGCUCAACCCCGGAAUUGCCUUUAAGACUGCAUCGCUAGAACGUCGGAGAGGUGAGUGGAAUUCCGAGUGUAGAGGUGAAAUUCGUAGAUAUUCGGAAGAACACCAGUGGCGAAGGCGACUCACUGGACGACUGUUGACGCUGAGGUGCGAAAGCGUGGGGAGCAAACAGG